CUGGUAGUUCUCGUUUAGUUUGAGUUUUCAAACUGCACAGCAGUUCCCGUUCAGUUUUCAAACUCCCACGCCCUUUCAUCAUAACUUCAUAACUUCUCUACUCCAUUUGUUCGGUUACAAAAUUUUGAUCUCUCUUCUUCGCCCAAGCUCCUCUCUCAAUUCGAGCACUCAUUCUGUCUUUCUCUCUUGUUCUAACUCAGCCACCGCCGCUGGUUCGGAACCACCACCACCACCGCCGGUUCAUAUGGUUUUAUAAUUUUAUAGUGUCAUUGUUUAUCACUUCCCUCGCCUUAAUUUCUUGAUUGUUUCUUCUUUGCUUUUUCGUCCAUUUUUGGUUUUUAACACAUUUUGUUAUUGUGAACAGUUAUUGGAUGAAUUGUAGACCCGGACCUUUGUGUCGAUAAGAACAAAAAACCUGUUUGUGGUUUUAGAUUUAGAGAAGAAGAGACGGAAAUUUUCACUGGGUAUGUUUUUUCUUUCAUCAACUCCUCUACAAAUUGUUGAGUUCUUGAAUGACUUCCAUUAUUGCUUUACAGAUUUACGAAGAAGGAUUGGACUUUGAAAAAUCACUUCAAGCUCGGAAAAUUUUGUGGUGAUACUAUUCGGUUGGUUCUAAAAAGUUUUCUCCAUCACAAAAAGGGUUCAAUUACAGAUGGGUUAGUUUUGUCUGUUUUUCCAAUCGUUAUGUUGAGGGAAAAUGUAUAACUGAACAAUAUUUCCAUUUUUCAACCUUGCUAGCCUUUUUAAUCAUUCCAUGACCUUUUCGGUUUGCUUUGUGUGCAACAUUGGAGAAAUAUCAGCUAAUUUUAGAAUUGAAUGGAUGUGAUGUCCUUGCUAUUUACUAAUGCCAUUUGUUUCUCUUUUAAGUUUUUUUUUUUAUUUUUUUUAUUUUUUGAGGGACUUUAAGUUAAUUCUUUUGGAAUACUACUUUUUGGUGUUUAUUUUCUUGAGUUGCAUGAUUGGAAGAAAUUGCGAUUCUUCUCUCUAAGAAAGGAUGUCAAUAACACUUAUAACUGCCCAUCUCCAUCGACCUUCUUCAAAUUUUGAUCACAAGAAAGGAGCAUCUGAGUUGGUGGAGAGACGCUUUGAUGGGUCGGCGUUUGUCAAGUACGACGACGCUGAAUGCGUUAUUUUAUAGGCAUGAUUGUUAUUCAACCGGUUGUUGAAUUUGUUCUUCAAUUGAUACCUAUUUGAAGAACUUCCUUCUGCUGUGUAGGGACGACGAACUGAAGUGAAGGGCCUCAAAUAACAGAGCUUGGUGUGCUAUUGAUGUAUCUUUAUCCUCUAACCUUACAACAUGUGGUACUUACGAAAUAUUUGACAUGGAUUUUCAUUAUUGAGAUCACUUUCGCGUUGCUUAACUGUCAUGGUGAUUUUUUUUCUUCUAAUGUUAUCUUUUCUUUUAUAAAUAAAUUAUCAUGUUCAUUUUUGUUUUA